UGAGCUGCCUUAGAGCCCGAGGAGUCGGGGAAGCGGCCACCCUUACAACCACCAGAGGGCGCAGGUGCGCAGAAGCCUGCCUGGCCCUGGGAUCUGCCAGGGGAGCCUCCUGCCUGCUUCUUGCGGGACGGCCCCUCCCUGCAGCCGUGGAUGUGAGGGGUCCUCUACCGGGCACAAGGACGCCAGCUUCUCACCCAGCAGAUCCAGCCACACCCGCCCUCCUCUGUUCCUCCAACCUGAGCCUUUCCCACCUCAGGGCCUUGGCCCUUGUGGUUCCAUCUGCCAGACACGCCAUCCCCUGGCUACACCCAAGGCCGACUCUGUCUCCUCCUCCUGGACUCAGCUCAGAUGCCACCUUCUCGCGAGACGCCUUCCCCAUCCCUGGUCUAAAGUGGGCCCCCUGCUAGUCCCAGUCUCGCCCGCUUUUCCCCCUUAGGUCAAUUUGUAAUUAUUUCAUGUAUUGUUUAUUUCAUCUUGUUCUGAUUCUCUCAACAGAUGAUAAGCUGCUGGAGAAGCAGGGGUCUCUUAUUGCCUGGAGCCAAGUGCAGUGCCUGACACAUAGUAGGCCCACAGUAAAUAAUGAUUGCACGGAUAAAUAUAUUUUUAUGCAAGUCAAACCGCUUGAAAGCAAUUACCCAGGAGAGCACACCUUAGGAGGACUAUUUGAAUCCUGCUACUGUGAGCAACAUUACUUAACCAGAGAUUGCCCACCAAAGAUGAAACAUUUACUCCACGAUCUCAGAGACAACGUGGAAAAAGUUAUCCUACACCUGGUAGAAAGUCAGGUGUGUCCUCUGACCGGUGAAGUCCUCAGGCAGCUGGAUGUGAAACUGUUGAAAAGCCUCAUGGGUGAGUCUGUGUCCAUCCAGGGAGGCGGACUCAGGACUGGAAGAUGGCUGGAGGAGGUGCCCCCACGGAGCUCCCAGCGAGGCCUGCUCAGGGGGGUCUGCAUGUGCUCUGAGAUCUCUUAGAGGUGACCAUAUCAUGAUGACCAUUACUGUCCUGUGAGAAAGCUGGGACAGCAGAGGGGAUCCCUACCAAGCCGGCUGUGUCCCACCAAGUCACUCACACCUACCUCUCACCAGAGCUUGUGGCUUCUCCCAAGAUUUCCACUCAAUCCUUUAGGGAGCACUGGCCCCACCCCAGACUGAGACCAUGCCCCUUGAGUUGCAGAUAAACAGAUACGGUCCCCGCCCUCACGGCGCUCACAGUCUCUAGAAUGGAAGACAGCAAGGAGCGCAUCACUAGCUAUCACUUGGAAAGAGUUCUAACACAAAUGCUCCUGGCACUGGCCCUUGGUCGGCAUGGGUGGAUGAGGGUCCCCGUCAGUGUGGACGUGGGAUUUGGAGGGACAGACAUGCAGCUGACUGACACCGCCUCUUCUUCUUAUAGAACAGGCUGCUGCUCAGGAACUCAACCAACUGUGAAUCAGCCAACCCCCCCCCCCCCCACACACACACACACCAGACUUAGUGUCCUCCAGCGAUGCACUGAUGAUCAGAAGGAGAUUCCACACCUUGGGACCUUACGCCUUCCUUAGAGUGGGGCUUCCACUGCCCCAAAAACCUUUACCACAGACCCUGUGGACAUCCUGUCCUCACCCAUAAUAAAUUCUAGUUAUGAAGGUGCA
rnacentral:lncRNA from 1 species